GUGAGGAAUAUUGCGCAAUGGAGGCAACUCUGACGCAGCCAUGCCGCGUGCAGGAAGAAGGCGCUACGCGUUGUAAACUGCUUUUAACCGGGAAGAAACCCCAGGACGUGUCCUGGGUUGACGGUACCGGAGGAAUAAGCACCGGCUAACUUCGUGCCAGCAGCCGCGGUAAUACGAAGGGUGCAAGCGUUAUCCGGAUUCAUUGGGUUUAAAGGGUGCGUAGGCGGAGCGUUAAGUCAGUGGUGAAAUCCUGCAGCUUAACUGUAGACUUGCCAUUGAUACUGGCGCUCUUGAGUGCGCUUGAAGUGGGCGGAAUGUGCCGUGUAGCGGUGAAAUGCUUAGAUAUGGCACAGAACACCAAUUGCGAAGGCAGCUCACUAAGGCGAUACUGACGCUGAGGCACAAAAGCGUGGGGAUCGAACAGGAUUAGAUACCCUAGUAGUCC
rnacentral:rRNA from 1 species